rnacentral:rRNA from 1 species
ACUGCUCAGUAACACGUCGAUAAUCUGCCCUCGGAUCCGUGAUAACCUUGGGAAACUGAGGCUAAACACGGGCAGGGGAUGGAGGCUGGAAUGCGCCUUCCCCAGAAACGCAAGGUCCGAGGAUGAGUCGGCGGCUGAUUAGGUAGUUGGAGAGGUAACGGCUCACCAAGCCAAAGAUCAGUACGGGCCAUGAGAGUGGUAGCCCGGAGAAGGGUCCUGAGACACAGACCCUAGCCCUACGGGGUGCAGCAGGCGCGAAAACUUUACAAUGCACGAAAGUGUGAUAAGGGUAUCCCAAGUGCCCAUGUACUGCAUGGGCUUUUGCCAUGAGUAAACAUCUUGGCGAAUAAGUGGUGGGAAAGACUGGUGCCAGCAGCCGCGGUAAUA